CUGACCUUCAUUCUCUGACGGAUCGAAGAAGAGUGGUUGAUUUUCAGUUUGUUCAGCUCCUUUCUUGUUGUGAGGACAGGAGUGAUGACUUCCAAGAUCCUUACAUGUGGGACCAGAAACUGCAAGUCUCUUUAGACGUCUUGAGGGGAGACUGAGAGGCUUGUUUAUGGUCUCCUUAGAGAAAGUUCCCACUGUGCCUGAGAGCCAGCUUUACGUCAAGACAAAUGAUACAGUUGUAGAAGUCCAGAGGGAAUCUGGACAAGUACAUGGUGAUCUUGGGAACAAAAGACAUGUCUAACAUUUUUUCCAGUUUCACGUAGAGCACGCCAUCAGGGAAACUGUGUCUGAUGGAUCAUAAGAACAAGAAAGGGCAUUCAUUUAAUACAAAGAAGAGACCUUUCAGUAUGAUUCUCUCAGUGUAUCCUGAAAUUGUAGUUGGGGAUUUAUGUCUUCAUGACCAGACAGGCCAUUGUGUUUACAAUGGGUGGCAGGGAACUCCUUAGUGCCUGCUGGACAUUUCUGAAUUUGGAAUUUCUGAAUUUUUCUGCAGAAAAUCAUGCAGAGGAGGAGAACAAAGAAGAAAAAGCAUCAAUGGACCCCAGCCUGAGCACAGAGCUACAAGAAAAAGAGAGUGUGAAUGAAGCCCUGAAGGGGUCAGUGGAUGAAGGCCCUGUGACUUCUUCCAGUCACCAGUACCCGUCUGGUUCCCACGAGCCUCCCAGCACCAAUGUUUUCUUGUCUGAGGAGCACGAAGACUUCUCUGCUCUGGUUGCAGCUACUGAGUACUCCCAUCAACAGGAGAAGAAAGCUCCAACAGGUCUCCCAGGUAGUGUCCAUAGUCAUGUUCCCCACGUCCCUGUCCAGGUCAAGAUAUGUCAUCUCUUCAGUCUGGCCCGGGAGACUUAACAUGGUUUGAAUCAGAAUCUAGGACUCAGUUUUAAGCACACACAUCAGGUGGGUCAGGUACAGAAAUGUCUCUCUGACGGCAGGCCUUGGAGACCCAUCUUGGUUUCAGUCAGAAUCUAGGACUCAGUUUUAAGCACACACAUCAGGUGGGUCAGGUAGUUCAACACUCUUCCGAGUCCCAGGCCAAAUCUCUGUCAUCCCCGUUACCAUGCCCGCUCCACUGCAAACAGCAGUCUCUGUCUCCUCUAAGUUGGUUUAUCCUCAGUAGGGAGCCAUCUAAGCGUCAAAAGAUAAACACCUCUUGAAUGUGUCUGGAAACUUACCACCCAGGGCGUGGUGUGAACCCUGGCACCCCCCACCACUUUGAAUAGCAAGAAUCCUGUUCUCUAGGUGGCACCAUAGAUUCUUU
rnacentral:lncRNA from 1 species